GUCUACGGCCAUGCUACCCUGAACAAGCCCGAUCCCAUCUGAUCUCGGAAGCUAAAAAGGGUCGGGCCUGGUUAGUACUUAGAUGGGAGACCACCUAGGAAGACCAGGUGCUGUAGGCA
rnacentral:rRNA from 1 species